rnacentral:misc_RNA from 1 species
GCGGCGGAAACGGCGGCGGGG